UACAGAGGGGGCAAGCGUUGUUCGGAAUUACUGGGCGUAAAGGGCGCGUAGGCGGCCUUCUAAGUCGAACGUGAAAUCCCCGGGCUCAACCCGGGAACUGCGUCCGAUACUGGAAGGCUUGAAUCCGGGAGAGGGAUGCGGAAUUCCAGGUGUAGCGGUGAAAUGCGUAGAUAUCAGGAGGAACACCCGUGGCGAAGGCGGUUCUCUGGGACGGUACUGACGCUGAGACGCGAAAGCGUGGGGAGCAAACAGG
rnacentral:rRNA from 1 species